CGUUUCCUGUGACACUACAUUGAAAAGAAAAGCUAACACAAACCUUUUUAUCUUGGUGCAGGUUUUCUUCUUCUUGGAUUGGGUGAAAUACCUGUUAAAUGAUGUCAAAUUAUUUAAGUCAUUCCUGACAAGCCUUCACACCUUGCUCUUUGGAUUGGUACUGCGUCAGGUCACAUAUUCCCUUAGAAGAGGUAACAUGUGACAAGAUUUUACUUCAACCUGGUGAAAUGUGAAACAUUUCUUAAAUGUUGUAAGUAGUGUCACAUGAAACAUUGUAUGUGCUAAAGUGUCAUUUAAAUUUGAUCAUCAGGGACAUUAUGUUGUUGGAUUCACAGAGUGAUAAGAUUGUGACUGAAAGAUUUGUUUAAUUUGGUUUUUAUUCCUUUUCAAACAUAAUUAUCGAUAUGAGAGAUUUGUGCUGGUGUUCGUCUUUCUCAAAAAGAGAACCUGACCUGAAACCAUAUAUUAUUUUCUACUUCGUAUUUUGUUAUGCUAUAUCCAUGAUUGAGUUAUAGGGAAACCAAUAUAGCGAAAAGGAAAAAACAUGGGAUGCAUAGUUGAAAAUUAUUUACUGACACCACUGGCAAAUAACUAUCAUGUACAUUUUGUCAAAAAUAGGCAUGCAUGAUUAAUGUCUCUAUAUCUAUAAAUUAUUUGAAAACUUUACAUGUACAUAACAAUAUGUACUUAAGAGGUGAGAAACAACUUAUUCAUAAGAGGUGAAUGACAUGUACUCUCCUAAUUAGUAUGGAACCAUUAAAAUAUUUAUGCGCCCGUAGCAACGCACGGGCAUUUUACUAGUAAGAAUAAAAAUUACGGAUAUGCAGGUCCGCGUCAGCCCACUACCACGUCAGUUAUGACCCAUCGCAUCUGCUUCUUCCCCGCGAUGCACCCCACCCCAAUCACACUGGUAAAAAAAGGCAAUCCAAUUCUUCAUCUAUUCAAGUCAAGCGGCGCCUCGACCUUCCCUUGCAACUACCCAGGCGGCGACGGAAGAACGGAGCACCACAAGCCGCAGUGGGACGGCGGCGUGAGAUUGAAAUCAUUCGGCUGGCCGCCGGCGUACACUGUACAAAUAAGGUGCACGGGUGGACUUCGGUGGGAUAUUACUGGUUUUCUCUUGCGGAAGGACGGACUGCAGAAGCGAUUGAACGGGGUUGUGACCCGGCCACGACCCAGGUCGACGCACCGUCGUUCCCGACCCUCGAUCUGGAUCGAUCGGCCUUGGGUCGUCGAACGCGCCAUCGAUCCCGUUUCCGGCUACGACGGCCGUGCAUCCCAACACCGCCCGCCCGACCGUCUCCGUGAAGCUGUUGUGCCGCCGUCUUCGCUAGCCAGAUGCAGCCGCCUCCCGAUUGAUUUUCCUAUCUUUGCAGUUUGGAUCAGGGAGUAGGCCUCACGUACGUAUGUGGGAUUGAGGGCCAGGAGGUUUUAUUUUCAGAAAAUUGUCGGGCAAGCUGUAAUAAAAGGGGAAUAUGAGUGGUUCUUAUGGUAUGCUCGUAACUGAAUUGAACAUGACUGUGGUCUAGUCCAUUAGAUGCUUAUAACUUGACCCUUGUGUCAUUCGGAGUUUACUAAUUGUCAGUAUUUCAUGGAUAUAUAAGGCAUUACUGGGCACACGGCCUAGAGGAACUCAAGUGAACAACAAAGCUAAUAGGUACACUCUCUCUCCCUCUCGGGUUAAUUCCAGAUUAGUUAUAGUGUAUGCAUCUUCAAGUAGUUGCUGCACCAGCAAAUGAUGAUAUCAUUACUCUCUGAUUUGUAUUGUAUUAAUUAGCAGAAUGUCCAUAAAAUCUUUUGCAUGGCCCUGCUUGUCUCCAAAUGCACCUACAACAUCCCAUUUUGUAGUUUUAUCCAUGAUCUGCUAGAAUCUGAAUUUCAUACCAGAAACAGUGAACAUGUCACCUCCAUUCUCUUGUUGACUACAAAGCUGUGUAAGUGUGAUCCUUUUUUUGUCCUUAACUAUAAAAUAUUUUGGUGAAAAUAGAGGGAACCUAAUUGUCAUAGCCAAGCGACUAGCAUGUCUAUGCUUAUUCUUAUGAGAAUUUAUCUACCUCGAGAGAAAACAAGGAUACUCCACUUUCCACUUCCACAAACUUUCACCAUAUGAUGAUUUAACAUUAUACACAUUUUUCUGAACCAACGAUGAUAUAUUCCUUCCUCUUUGAGCAGAGCCUUUCAACUAAAGUUGUGAGGCAUACAAUAUCAUUCCUAAUAUGGUGUGUAAUGAUUAAUGAACUUAUUUAAUUUGAUAUAUGUACAUGUUUUUCUAGCUAUUGGUUCUUUUGGUUAAAAUUUAUGAAUAUCUUACGUAUAUUUCUAGAAACUUAUAUCUUUUGUUAAAUAGCUCUUGGGAGUUUCAUCACAACGCAUUCUAAAUGCAACAGACAAUUGAAGUACAACGGAUUUGACUUUCUAUGCGUUAUGAAUGUCCAUUAGCUAAUAUGUGAUGCAAGUGGUGGCUAUAGAACUUCAAAGAUAGUUACACAGAUAUAAGAUUUAUAAUUUCGUGGGUUCAUGCUUUGAAAAUUUGGCCGCAUGAG